AUAAACAUACAAGAAGCCCACAGAACACCAAAUAGAUUGGAAAAGAAAAUCUUCCUGUCACAUAAUAAUGAAAACACUAAAUGCAAGUAACAACGAGAGAUUGUCAAAAGCUGUAAGGGAAAACGGUCACGUUGCAUAUAAAAACAGACCUAUCAGAAUUACACCAGACUUCUUAACAGUGACUCUAAAAACCAGAAGAUCUUGGACAAAUAUCAUGCAGGCCAUAAGAGAAUACAAAUGCCAGUCCAGGCUACUAUUCCAGCAAAACUCUCAAUCAUCAUAGAUAGAGAAACUAAAAUACACUGAAUCUAAUAGAAGAGAAAGUGAGAAAAAGCCUUGAACACAUCGUUGGCACAGGAAAAUUUUCCUUAACAGAACACUAAUGGCUCAGGCUCUAGGAUCAACAAUUGAUAAAUGGGACCUCAUAAAACUGAAAAGUUCUAUAAGGCUAAGAACACUGUCAAUAGGACAAAACAGCAACCAACAAACUGGGAAAAGAUCUUUACCAACUGUACAUCUAAUACAGGGCUAAUAUCCAAUAUAGACAAAGAACUCAAGAUGUUAGACUCAAGAAAACCAAAUAACCCAAUUUAAAAAUGGGUGCAACCAGUACAGAGCUAAAAAAAAAAAAAAAAAAAAAAAAAAAAGAAUUCUCAAAUGAAGAAUCUCAAAUGUCCAAGAUGCACCUUAAAAAAAAUAAUAAUUCAAAAUCCUUAGUCAUCAGGGAUAUGCAAAUCAAAAUGACCCAGAGAUUCCACCUUACACCAGUCACAAUGGCUAAGAUGGAAAACUCAGGCAUCAGCAGAUGCUGGUUAAGAUAUGGAGAAAGAAGAAUGCUCCUCCACGGCUGGUGGGACUGUAAGCUGUUACAAAUACUUUGGAAAUCAAUCUAGUGGCUCCUCAGAAAACUGGAAAUAGUUCUGCCUGAAGACGCAGCUCUACCACUACUGGUCAUAUACCUAAGAGACGCUCCGAUAUAUAACAAGGACAUGUGCUCCGUUAUGCUCAUAGCAGCCUUAUUUAUACUAGGGAGAAGCUGGAAACACCCUGAUGUCCCUCAGAGGAAGAAUGGGUGCAGAAAAAUGUGGCACAUCUACACAAUGGAGUAUAGUCAGCUAUUAAAAACAACUUCACAAAUUUUGCAGGCAAAUGGAAGGAACUAGAAAAUAACAUCCUUAGUGAGGUAACCCAAGGAGGAGGAGAAAUGGGGUCAGGAACUGUGGGAGGGGGAACCAGGAAGCGGGGACAAUGACUGAAAAAAAUAAAGGGAAAGAUGCAGACUG
rnacentral:lncRNA from 1 species